CCUACGGGAGGCAGCAGUCGAGAAUCAUUCACAAUGGGGGAAACCCUGAUGGUGCGACGCCGCGUGGGGGAAUGAAGGUCUUCGGAUUGUAAACCCCUGUCAUGUGGGAGCAAAUUAAAAAGAUAGUACCACAAGAGGAAGAGACGGCUAAAUCUGUGCCAGCAGCCGCGGUAAUACAGAGGUCGCAAGCGUUGUUCGGAAUCACUGGGCGUAAAGCGUGCGUAGGCUGUUUCGUAAGUCGUGUGUGAAAGGCGCGGGCUAAACCCGCGGACUGCACAUGAUACUGCGAGACUAGAGUAAGGGAGGGGGAACCGGAAUUCUCGGUGUAGGAGUGAAAUGCGUAGAUAUCGGGAGGAACACUCGUGGCGAAGGCGGGUUCCUGGACAUUAACUGACGCUGAGGCACGAAGGCCAGGGGAGCGAAAGGGAUUAGAUACCCGAGUAGUC
rnacentral:rRNA from 1 species